rnacentral:misc_RNA from 1 species
GAUGAAGAACGCAGCGAAAUGCGAUACUUGGUGUGAAUUGCAGAAUCCCGUGAACCAUCGAGUCUUUGAACGCAAGUUGCGCCCGAAGCCUCGGCUAAGGGCACGUCUGCCUGGGCGUCACGCAUCGCGUCUCCCCCAAACCGCCAAGGCGGAGGGGAAGGAAGAUGGCUUCCCGUGCCUCACCCGGGCGCGGUUGGCCUAAAUUUGGAGCCCGCGGCACUUAGCUCUCGCGGCGAUAGGUGGUGAACAAGGCCUUGGCCGUGCAAACAACCCGCUGCGAAGCUCUAUGUCACGUGCGCUCGUCGGACCCUUUGAAGUUGCCUUUGGUGACUUAAAACCUUUGCGACCCCAGGUCAGGCGGGGCUACCCGCUGAAUUUAAGCAUAUCAAUAACGGAGGA